rnacentral:tRNA from 1 species
AGAAAUGUGGUGAAACGGUAAACACAAUGGACUUUUAUAAAUUUAUUGUUUGUUGUUAUUUUUAGUUUUAUAUAUUAAUUAAAUAAUUAUUACUAU